GACUCUUACUCCGAGUAGGGGAGAGCAGGUAGGAUUCGUACAGUAGGAGCAUUCGUACAGUCCUUAUUCCUACCACUGUAGAAUACUUUGACAGGUCUGUGUUUGUGUGCGUGAGACCCACUCGCACGCAUAGGUUACUCGCGGGGUGAGACGUCAGUGCAGCCGCCGGCUUCGACGCAACGAGUCGUAACGUGAUUUCGCGCCAAAACCAUGCCGCGAAUAUAUAUUAAAAAGGGGACGAGGACGGGAGAGGUAGAUGAAGGUGCAAUAGAAUCGGCGAUAAAAGAAGUUUUGGAUAAGACAUUAUCUAUUAGAAAAUCUGCACAAAAAUAUGGCGUCAAACCAACAACACUCGAAAGUCGUCUGAAAAGUUUCAUCAACAAGAAGCUGCCGAAAAUAUGCCUACCCGUGCGUUCACUUCCAAGUUUACGUCAAAUCAGGUGUUUUCAACUGAGUGGACAGAGAUUCAAUAAAGAAAACAAGGAAAGGAAAGCUACCAGGCAAAUCUAGAAUUUACACUGAUACUCCGGAAAAAGAUAGACUGGCAGAAAUAGAAAAAGGAAGACUAUUGAAGAAGCAAGUGCAAGAGAAAAAACAAAAAGCUAAGGCCAUCAAAGCUCUACAUCUUGUCUUAGAUGCAGAUAACGCAUCUUCAAUAAAGAGGAAAUCUCAAUCGAAAGAGUCAUUUAAUUUAAAGAAGCAAAAGAAAACUACAAAGACUGAUAAUGAAGCAAAUGCAUAUUAUAUGAUACCUAUGAAUACCUAAAUAAUAUAUCUUGGUUCUUAAUACAAAAAUGCUGAUUCUGUGUUAAAUUGAUCUCAAUAAAUGAUUAAAUUUAAUCAACAA